AUCCGUUGUAGUGUAGUUGGUUAGGAUAUUUGGUUCUCACCCAGGUUCUCACCCAAAAAGACCUGGGUUCAAGUCCCAGCGAUGGAAA
rnacentral:tRNA from 1 species